CGCGCGCACGUUGCUGCCGGGACCGCCGCGGCGAUGGAGCAGCUGCAUCUGUCGAGGCCGCUUAGUCCUUUUCCGUCGGUGGAGACGCUGGGACACGGGCCUGGGACACGUGGGCGCCCAGGGCCUCGUCGCAGCCGCAGCGCCCGAGACGCACAGGUGUUGGAAAAUCCCCACUGAAUGAAUAAAAAAAAAAAUUAAACGUAUCCUGGGAACAUGCCGUUCAGGGUUUUGGAAUGGGAACUUCAAACGAAGUUGGUAAAGGAGUCAAAUGCGAUUAUCAAGAAACAAGGAAGGCUAUGCUAAUGGAAUCAUCAGGAAACUACUUAUAAACUUCUUGAUAGAUAAUUCUAUGAAAUAUGAUUCUCAGCCACUCAUCUUUAUCCUCUACCUUCUCACCAUUAGGAUUAAGCCAUGAAGCAGAUGGAAAAAUUAUCUUAUCUUGUGAACCAUGUGAAAACAGGCAAUGAGAUAGACUUAGCCUGUAGGCUAUAAUUUGCUGAACCUUGGUAUAGAAAAUUAUUUAUGAGGAAAUAUUGGAAAGACACAACUGAUAAUUUGUGGUUGAGAGUACUCUAAGUUCCAGCCAGUGGAAUGUGAGCAGAAGUGAUGUGUUGUUGCCACUGGGCUUGGCCCAUAAAAACUUCCCAUGAAUGCUGCUUUUUGUUCUUUUCCCAUAUGUUGAAUAUGGUGGGGACUCAAGAUGGAAGAAACCUGGUUCUCAUUUUGGCUUUACAUGAAUAAGAAACAAACUUCUAGGGCUGCCUGACUGGCUCAGUCUGUACACCAUAACUCUUGAUCUCAAGGUUGUGAAUUCAAGCCCCAUGUUGGUCUUGAAGCCUACCAAAAAAAGAAAAAAAAAAAAAAAGGAAGAAAAGGAGAAAGAAGAAAGAAAGAAAGAAAGAAAGAAAGAAAGAAAGAAAGAAAGAAAGAAAGAAAGAAAGAAGAAAGAGACAGAAAGAAAGAGAGAGAAAGAAAGAAACUUGCAUUCCCAAAUUACCCAAAUUCAGUGUUAAGCCACUGAGAUUUUCAGGGCUUUUUAUUUGAGUAACUAGUAUUAUCUUAACUAAUAUGUCAUUAUUUCUUCCAGAUGUUUUUGGUUUGACUGUUAUCCUAAAUCGAAGUCUCAAAUGCUACAAGCUUGGAUGGACUUUUCUUUGGUCUCUUUCUCUCCUCUUCAUUUCCUCCUUUUCACAUUUAACUGGCAGAUGAGAGAUAGAAUUGCUUUCCAAGUUCGAGAAUAUACUUUGGUGGCCAUUAGCUUCUCCAAAAAUGCUACAAGAAAUGAGACACUUUGCUUUAGCCACAGAGACUGUCCCCAACAUGAAGCCCACCUGAGAAAUUCUUUUAGAACUCAGGGCCAGGAAAAGCUUAUCUUCCCCUGAGGAACUUGUAUGUUUUCUUAUCAACAAAGAAUAUUGUUGACUGUGCCUGAUUGUAUCCCCUUUCCCUUUUCCCUCUGGUUGCCAAGAAGCUCAGAGCCAAAUUUUUGCUUAACAUUAAUAACUUUAUCGAACCCUGUGGCCUACAUAUCUGCAUUCUUAGUUUCCUCCUGGUCUUGACCUUCUACUCUGCUGUGUGUUUUCCUUGUUUCUGAUUUUUUGGUUAUUUAUAUUUUAUUGCUUGUUUUCUUGUAAGCUUCCUCAGAUCCUUUGUGGAACAAGGUGGGGUCAAUAAAA